GGAGAGAUGCGAGAGUGGUUGAAUCGGGCAGACUCGAAAUCUGUUGAGUUCGUAAGAAUUCCGAGGGUUCGAAUCCCUCUCUCUCCG
rnacentral:tRNA from 4 species